UACGUAGGGGGCAAGCGUUAUCCGGAUUUACUGGGUGUAAAGGGAGCGCAGACGGAGAGGUAAGUCUGAUGUGAAAGCCCGAGGCUCAACCGCGGGACUGCAUUGGAAACUGCCUGACUGGAGUGCAGGAGGGGUGAGCGGAAUUCCUGGUGUAGCGGUGAAAUGCGCAGAUAUCAGGAAGAACACCGGCGGCGAAGGCGGCUCACUGGACUGUAACUGACGUUGAGGCUCGAAAGCGUGGGUAGCAAAC
rnacentral:rRNA from 1 species